GCUGAAGAACGUAGCGAAAUGCGAUAAGUAAUGUGAAUUGCAGAACUCAGUGAAUCAUCGAAUCUUUGAACGCACAUUGCGCCCGCCAGUAUUCUGGCGGGCAUGCCUGUUCGAGCGUCAUUUCAACCAUCAAGCCCCCGGCUUGUGUUGGGGACCUGCGGCUGCCGCAGGCCCUGAAAACCAGUGGCGGGCUCGCUAGUCACUCCGAGCGUAGUAAUACAUCUCGCUCAGGGCGUGCUGCGGGUUCCGGCCGUUAAAAAGCCUUAUUUACCCAAGGUUGACCUCGGAUCAGGUAGGAAGACCCGCUGAACUUAAGCAUAUCAAUAAGCGGAGGA
rnacentral:misc_RNA from 1 species